rnacentral:misc_RNA from 1 species
GGAAAAGUCAACUUGACAGGUUGAAUCGUCGUUUUGCAAUCAUGGAGGAUAGUUUAUGAAUUUAUUUCUUAGGCUAGUAUUUCGUUACUGUUUCAUUGUUUAUUUCUCGUUAGGUAAGCGGUGAGCUUUGCGUUUCUGUUUUAUUGUUUUUUAUUUUAUUCAAUUAUUAUUUCUCAACUUGACCGAACGGAAGGAAAAAUAAACAUUUUGAGUUUGUUCUAUUAAUUUGCUUAUUUUGAGGAAGAAAUAAUUUUUUAAUUAUUUUGGUUAAGCUACGCCUAGUACAGUAAUAUUGCGUUGUCAACUAUUGAGGAAAAGUAAGAUAGUGUGAUUUCUUUUUUAAUAUUGUAAAAUACAAUAGAGAAUAAAAAGAAAAAGAAGAAGGGGGGAAGGGGGGAACAAAUUUAGCUGGCUAACCAAAUGGAAAUUUUGUUUCUGGGCAUUGAAGUUUAUUAUGUGUUCUAUCAUACCGAUGAUAUCUGAUCUGUUUGACUAUUAAAUGUCAUUUUUUUCUCGUUUGCCUUUUUG